AAAAAAAGGUUCAAGAUUUUAUGUCUCUUUAUCUUCUAUGAGAAAACGAUCUCCUUCCUCUUCAACUUGACGGUGCGGCUUCUCCACAAAUCUUCGUCUCCGAUUCGCUUCACUUUGCAAGCAUCUCUGAUCCAACUUCAACGGCGCGACUUCUUCUGUGCGAACUCGCUCCGAUCUCAGAUUCCAAUUAUUUUUUGGAGUCGCUCCGAUGGUGUUUCAAGCGCGACGGAGAUGAUGAGAUGUCGGAGAGCAUCUUCAACAAUUGCUCAUAAACGCUGCCACAACGUGUUGUUGUUGUUUGAAGCAGGGGUAAUGAAGU